GCUGGAGUCGCCUAGUGGUAGGGCGGCAGCCUGCUAAGCUGUUUAGCUAGAAAUGGCUUCUGUGGGUUCGAUUCCCACCUCCAGCG
rnacentral:tRNA from 1 species